AGAGUUUGAUCCUGGCUCAGGAUGAACGCUGGCGGCGUGCUUAACACAUGCAAGUCGAACGAUGAACCUCACUUGUGGGGGGAUUAGUGGCGAACGGGUGAGUAACACGUGAGUAACCUGCCCUUAACUCUGGGAUAAGCCUGGGAAACUGGGUCUAAUACCGGAUAUGACUCCUCAUCGCAUGGUGGGGGGUGGAAAGCUUUAUUGUGGUUUUGGAUGGACUCGCGGCCUAUCAGCUUGUUGGUGAGGUAAUGGCUCACCAAGGCGACGACGGGUAGCCGGCCUGAGAGGGUGACCGGCCACACUGGGACUGAGACACGGCCCAGACUCCUACGGGAGGCAGCAGUGGGGAAUAUUGCACAAUGGGCGAAAGCCUGAUGCAGCGACGCCGCGUGAGGGAUGACGGCCUUCGGGUUGUAAACCUCUUUCAGUAGGGAAGAAGCGAAAGUGACGGUACCUGCAGAAGA
rnacentral:rRNA from 1 species